CGCAAAGAGGCAAAAACAGGCAAGGCGCACGCACACUGGCCCUCCUUUGUGAAACGUGCGUACGACCUAAAACAGGCGUACGUCGAUUACUACGCAAAGCUCGGCAUUUAUCAAUUUGACCGUGAGUGUAGGCUGCGAAAAAAUCUGGUCUGACCUCGAGUACGCAAGUUUUGGAGUCAGUGUGGAUUUGCGGUGCAGCAUGAACAGGAGAAGGAGAAGUCAUCAGUUGAUUAUUUAUCGACAAUGGCAGAUCUGGCUGUUUUUAGAAGACCUCUAUGAGCCGAGCAACAGUGCACACGUAGCCUACACCCACGAGCCAAGGUUAGGGGGGGGGGGGGGGGGGGGAGAAACCCUAUAUGCCAGAGUCUGCAACAUUGUGACCCGAUGACCCGAUGCCCAGAGAGCAGUGUCCAGCACAGCCCCAACUGGGGGCUGUACGAAGGAGACAGGAUAUUAUGGAUAUUACUCCUCAGAGCGGAGGACACGCGCUCUCUCUCACAGCUGUUGCUUGGCUCUGACUCACGAAAAAAAUGAGUAAAAAAAAAAUAACUCUGCAUAAACUCCGCUACCGUGUGUUUAAUUAAAUAUAGGAACAGCUAUAUAUAGGCCUAAGAGAUUGUUUGUUUUUAGUAUGACAUUUCAAACUUUUUCGGCCAGCUGAGAAGGAUCGAGCCUUCAAAACCAUGUAGCUCUAUUUUUUUGCAGGAAGCAUGGCCUACCACAAGAGCUGUUGGUCAUCUUCUACACUGCUGCCAUCCUCCUAACCCCUUCCCUCGCAGGCGCUUCAGAUCCCUGCACACAACAACCACCAGACACAAGAACAGCCUCCCACUGCCAUCCCUCUCCUGAACUGCUGAUAAGUGGGGUCAUCCCCACUUUGGCCAUUCACCUACACAUUACAUACUUUAUCUUUUCAAUAUGCAUCUUACACACA